GGGGAGGACGAAGAGCCGGCGAUGAUGCACACAAGAGUUCGUAGUGGACGGAAUAAUCUGGCGUCGACGUGAGACACCCAGGUUUAUAUGGAGGAGGAUGAUUGGAUGCAGGUGUGCCUCGUCCAGUUGCCGCCAACAGCCAGCCACACCCCCUGCCGCACACAAACACAGGAGAACACAGGAAAAACCCAAACAAACAAAAACACAAUCACCACAGUACCCCCCCCUCCCCCCCUCAGGGAAAGCCCCCCGACCCGGCUUGCCCGGGAACUGUUCAUAAAAGUCAUCCAAAAUAGACUGGUCAAGGAUGAGGGAACGAGAAAUCCACUGUCUCUCCUCUGGACCGUAACCCUUCCAGUCCACGAGGUACUGGUAGCCUCGACCACGCCGGCGUACGUCCAAAACCUUAUAUACUGUGUACGCCGGGUGGUCAUCAAUGUCAAGGGUGGGUGGGGGGAGCUCUGCAGGAGGACUUAGUGGACUGGUGGACACUGGUUUGAGGAGAGAGACAUGAAAAGUGGGGUGAAUCCGUAGCGACAGGGGGAGCUUAUAGCCGAAGGGUUAAUGAUCCGGUCAACCUCGAAUGGCCCAAUAUACCUCGGAGUCAGUUUACGGGACUCAGUCUGGAGGGGCAGAUCACGGGAUGAUAGCCAGACCAUCUGUCCCGGCUGGUAGUCCGGGGCCGGUGCCGAUCCGCCACUCGCUGAUUGCGGGCCGCAGUGCGGACGAGGGCUGCCUGGGCCUCGCGCCAGACCCGACGAACACGCCGGAGAUGUUCCACCAUGGAUGGCACUGCCAGAUCAGUCUCCUGAGAAGGGAACAGAGGAGGCUUGAAACCAUUAGCUGCCAUGAAAGGGGACAUACCUGUGGCGGAGCAGACCAGGGAGUUGUGAGCAUAUUCAGUCCAGGGGAAGUGUGUGGCCCAGGAAGCAGGAUGUCGAGCAGUGACAACGCAGGGCCGCCCCCAGAUCCUGGUUUGCCCGUUCCGUCUGGCCAUUGGACUGAGGAUGGUAACCCGAAGAAAGGCUGGCUGAUGCCCCCAGCGCCUUGCAGAACGCCCUCCACGUUCUGGCGGAAAACUGCGGACCUCUGUCAGAGACAAUAUCCAUCGGGAUGCCAUGAAGGCGGAAGACGUGGGUAACCAGCAGGUUGGCGGUCUCCAGUGCGGAAGGUAGCUUGGAAAGGGGGACGAAGUGGGCUGCCUUGGAGAACCGGUCGACCACGGUCAGUAUAACUGUGUUGCCUUCCAAGGGGGGUAAGCCAGUGAUUAAGUCGACCGCCACAUGCGACCACGGGCAGUGAGGGAUGGGAAGGGGGUGCAGCAAUCCGGCGGGGGCCUGGUGUGAGGCCUUACUCCGGGCGCAGACGGAACAGGCAGCGACGAAUCCCCUGGUAUCCGUUGUCAUGGAAGGCCACCAGAACCGUUGUUGUAGGAGAGCCAGUGUUCUACGCAAACCAGGAUGGCAGGCAAUCCGGGAGGCGUGUCCCCAUUGCAGGACAGGAGACCUCACCACCUCUGGAACAAACAACCUGCCCGGAGGACAACCCUGUGGAACCGGCUGGUCCCUCUGGGCCCCCUGGACCACACCCUCGAUCUCCCACCCAGCUGCUCCAACCACACAGGCCGACGGCAGGAUGGUGCUUCCAGCGGUGUCCUCAACCGGGGGAGCCAACUGACGUGACAGUGCGUCCGGUUUGAUGUUCUUGGAUCCUGGAUGAUAGGUGAGGGUGAAUUGAAACCGCCCCAGGAACAAAGCCCAUCGGGCCUGGCGUGAGUUGAGCCUCUGAGCCGAUCUGAGGUAGGAGAGGUCCUUGUGAUCCGACCACACAAUGAAAGGGUGAGUGGAUCCCUCCAGCCAGUGCCUCCACUCCUGCAGAGUUAGGAGGGCGGGAGAAAAAGGCACAAGGGUGCUGCUUCUGAUCAGCCGAGGAGCGCUGUGAAAGUACAGCUCCCACCCCGGAGUCGGAAGCAUCCACCUCCACAAUAAACUGUAGCGCGUGUUAAAACCAGUCUUCCACUAGUCUCCUUUCUUGAUCCUCACUAGGUGAUAAGCGUUUCGGAGGUCCAACUUCGUAAAGAUAGAGGCCUCAUGAAGGGGUCCGAACGCCUUGUCCUUCUUUUCAACAACCCCCACCCCCCCCCUAGCGGAGAAGACUAAGGUCGAAUUAGUCCUGUGGCCAAGGAGUCAGUAAUAUAUGUCUCCAUGGCCACGCUUUCCGGCUUAGAUAGGUUAUACAGCUUACUGGAAGGAUAAGGAGCUUCCAGAACUAAAUCAAUGGAGCAGUCAUAAGGUCUGUGAGGGGGGGAGAGAGUGAGCGUGGUCCUUACUAAACGCCUCCCGGAGGUGGUGAUAAACUGGGGGCACAGAGCUGACGUCCACUGAUUUGGGUGUUGAAGACAUGGUUGACGGGAUGGCAGAAUGUAAACAAUGAGAAUGACCGAAAAGACUCCAGUUGAAAAUGGAGACAGAGGACCAGUCAAUCUGAGGGUUAUGCAACUUCAACCAAGCAAGCCCUAGCACUACAGGGGAAGCCGGAGAAGGAAUUAAAAAAAAAAAAGAAUCUCCUGGUGGUUACCGGAUAGCAUCAGGUUCACGGGCGCCGUGCGGUGGGUGACCUGAGCUAACAGCCUGCCAUCUAAAGCAAAAACCCUCUUAGGGUGAGAAAGCAGCUGGCAGGGGAUACCUGCCUGAGAAGCAAAACUAGAGUCAAUAAAAUUGUCAUCGGCCCCUGAGUCCACUAAAAUGGACAGGGAACGGGAGGACUGAUCCCAAGACACAGUCCCUUGAAUUGUCAAACAGGAAGGAGACGAACAAACAGGACAGGCUCACCAACGCUCCUCCAGAAAUUGGUGAGCCCCCCCUUUUGGCAGCAGCGGGCAGUGCAUUUGCAGAUGUCCAUCCUGCCCGCAGCAAAGGCAGAGACCAUGGCGCCGGCGACGUUGAUACUUCCCUUGGUGUGAGUCUGGUCUCUCCAAGCUGCAUGGAGGGAGGAGACGCGGUCCGGGAAAACCUCCUGUCGGGACAAGGAGGAGGCACAAGCCCCCACUGGGGAGGGCUCACGCUCUGAGUCACGGGAGGGGGCAGACUAACUUUCCCUAGUCUCUCCCUACGACGCUCAUGAAGACAAGAAUCUAAACGAAUAGCUAACGAAAUUAAUUCAUCUAGAGAGGAUGUCUCAUCCCGAGCAGCCAAUUCGUCCCUCAACUCUUCUCUCAAUCCCCGGAGAAAACCCCCCUGCAACGCUCUUUCAUCCCACCCGGCCUCAAGCGCUAGAAUCCGGAAAUUCACCAAAUGCUUAGCUACGGAGUCUCCUCCCUGUCGUAGCGACAGGAGCCGACUGCUAGCCUCCUUGCUACGCAGCGGGUGGUCAAACACUUUAAGAAACUCCUGAGAAGGAGGAAAAGGAAAAACAAACCGGAGACUGGCUAAACGAGAGCUUUGCAGCCCAAGCCGCGUCUUUCUCAGAUAGGAAACUCAUAACAAACGCUACCCGCGAUUUGACGGUAGCGUAAGUGAAGGGCUGUUGUUCAAAAACGAGAUUACAUUGAAAAAGGAAUUCUCUACCGGACCCUGACUGACCCGAAAACCUAACGGGUGUGGGGAUGAUGGGUUCCCGGGGUUGAGUGGAGGAAGAGCUCGGCGGAGCCGCAGGAGGUGGUGGGGCAAGAGCCGGGACCAGAGCUGGAGCGGGAGACGAAGCAGUCAGCGUGGAGAGGUGAGUAGAAACUUGGUCCUUUCGGCUGCCGAUUUGCGCGACUGUGGAGGUAAGCCUGUUGAGCGUCUCCAUCACCUCGUUUAAGGCUGCCUCAUGCUGCCCCACUCGACUCCCUUGGGAUUAAAGCGCCAGUCUGAAUUUCUCCACGUCUCUCUGCGGGGUCCAUGUUAUGGCCAGAUUAUUCUGUUAAGUUUAGGUGAAGGUUCGGGCCCCAAAGCAGACAUGGAGAGGUUUGUAGUUAGAUAUGUGAACAAAGUUUAUUGGCUAGCGAGGAUCCUGGCAACGGGGAGGACGACGAGCCGGGCGAUGAUGCAAACGAGAGUUCGUAGUGGACGGAAUAAUCUGGCGUCGACUUGAUGAGACGCCCAGGUUUAUAUGGAGGAGGAUGAUGAUUGGAUGCAGGUGUGCCUCGUCCAGUUGCCGCCAACAGCCAGCCACAACCCUUGCCGCACACAAACACAGGAGAACACAGCCAAAACCCAAACAAACAGAAACACAAUCACCACACUAGUCUUCUGCUAGGUUUCACUUGGGCUAAAUUGAGUCACUUCUAAAUUAUUAAUAUCACGUAAGAAAAGACGCACACUAUUGUGGUGGAAAUUUGGGGAUCAGUAAAAUCAUUAUAACAUCAAUGAUGUCACAUCAAUUAAAAACAGAUUUCAGUCAGUUUUACUUAAAAUAACUUCUUCAGGGGUGGAGAGUUCUAUUUCAUCCAUGUUUUGUACAUUUGACAACUACCACAGUUAGCAGGGUGCUCUCGCCCAGACUAACUGACGUGUUGCUUAGUUGACUAGAUCAACACCAGCACGUUUACAGUGGGGUUUUUAUUACCUUAUGGUUAGCACAGCUAGCAGGUCAUCCUCCUCCUGACUGAGGGUGGUGCUAGUUGACUGGAUCAACAACUAGCUGUUACGGGUUUCAAAACCCGCCACCUCCGCAUUUUGAGUCCCUGCACGCUAUCCAUUGCGCAAUCGUCACCCUGUCACUUAGACACUCAAGGCCUCAAGUGUUUUCCAUCCUGGUAACGAGCUGGCUGGGUGUGGACACUGCACACCUGUAUCCAGUUUCCAAUCUUCACCAGAGCCUUCAAGUACCCUGCUUUUCCAUCACUCCUCGCCAGAUCUUCCCAUAGAAUCACCUGGCAAGUACCAAGAGAGCUAAGACCUACAUUGUUGCUGUUCGUACCUUGUAGAACCUAUUUUCUGCAGUCAUUCUGAUUGCUUGUUUUUUGCCUCCUGCAGUUGCCUAUCGCCAACCGUUGCCACUUGUCUGGAUUAUUGUUUUGGCUACCAAUUUACACACGCCGGGACGCUGACCACUCUUCCGGAUUCAGAUGUAUAAAUGUACCGUAAGAAUAACUGUACUUUCGGACCAUUAAAACGCCUAGCAGGGCAUUAACCUUUUCCUGUCUCCUGAGUGUUGCAUUUGAAUUCAGAACACAACACAGCCGUAGCACUGGAUACAUUUCUGAUGGGACCUUACAGCUAACACAUUUAGCAGGGUGUUCUUGCCUAGGCCAACUGGGUGAGAUGCUACAUUUGACUAGAUCAACACAUACAUUGUGUCACUAGAGAUCUAGCAGUGCUCACUGUUAACCCUGGGUCCUCACUUGUAGUGGGCUAACUAACCACGAUGCCACGUGGACGAAAUCGACAUUGACGUGGUGUCCACUAAGGCUUAUUAACCCUUACACAACUCUAUAGGACCUGUAAAGCUCCUCUUCAACCUUAUCGGCAUCUCCCUUUUCUACCUCAUGCUUGCCCUCUCAGCUUUGCUGCAGCGGGCUACCUUUUGGCGCUGCCGCCACCGGCCUCAAUGAUGUUUCACUGCAGGUGUUUGGCCUCAUAUCGAGGGAACCUGGACGUCUGGCUGGUGCAGUCACCAAAUAUAGGAGAAUCCUCCACAAAGUCCCCAUGGAAGCGGAGGAGCUGUUUGUGUCAGCUGCUAAACCAGGUGCUUCAGCAGAGUGUUGUAGAUAGCCAGGGCAGACAGCAGUUAUGUUUCUUCACAGGAACAUAGAGCUUACCUUGGGGGUAAGGCCCUUCUCUGCCCCCAGCUAACCCCAGUAACUGCCGCAGGCCACGGCGUUCCGCCUAGAGGCCGGCUCGCUUCCCAUGCAACCCUACCAUAUGGUCCCCUCCGAACCUGGGGCUUAACAGUUGCCAAAAGUCUCCAGAAGCAGUCUGGCCAAAACAUGAGGUCUCCGGGCUAGCCUUUAGUUAUUCCUCCCAGCAGCAGAUUGGCUACUGGGCAUUUCAUAUAUCGGAACCCUGGGUGGUUUUUACCCUAUCCCAAGGGUGUAAGCCUCAAUUCCGAUGCCAGCCCCGAGCCGGCUCGCUAUGAGAAACAUUACCGUACCAUCAAAAUCCCUAGCCCUGAGCCAGUAGUUAGGUUCUGGCUGAGGGAACUGUUAAAGGAACCCGGUCCCUUUACCUGGGCUACUGUAGUGCUGGAUUCCCCCCGGAUAGGUCUGUAUGACGCGCAGUUCUUUCAGCCUUAAUCACCCCUGCGUUCUCCUGCUUGCAGAAAUAAUUCACCGACACGUUCUGUGUGUUGUUGAUCUUGUGUUUUAUUUCUCCCGUAUAAUGUUUGUUCCCAACAGAACCCACUCUCGCGUGUCGCUACAGCGGUCAAAACCCUUUCGCUCUCCGGGUCCAACACCUGAUACCAAUUGUUACAUAAUCAAUUAUAUAGGUGCACACAGGACCCAAGAACAGCGCCACCCAGUGUACAGAAUAAAAUAUUCAUUUGGCUCCUACACACCGGCCCCUAAUUAUUAAUGCAGACAGACAUAACAAUUCAAACAAAACAAAAAAGGAGCAAAAAGGUUUCCCAGUACAGACAAAUCAAUUUACACCCCAUGUAGCAAAGACAAUUUUGUUACUGGUCUUACAAUGAUGUUAGAUUUUGUCUGUAAUCUCACAGAACGCACAAGUCCCUUUGUGUCAGAAAAUACUUUGCCAAGUGGCCAAGAAACACGGGGAGCUGAUGGAUCCAUGAUCACCACAAUAUCUCCAGUAACCAAACGUUUCUUCUGAUUCCAUUUUUGCCUUGGAGCAAGGGUAAGUACUCCCUCACCCAUCUCUUCCAGAAAAGAUCUGCGAGGUACUGCACUUGCCCCCAUCGUCUCCUUCCAUACUGAUCAUGAGUUUCAAACACUCCAAGAGGCAAAGCUGGUUUACCUUUCAAGAGAAGUAGAUGGUUAGGUGUGAGCAGUUCAAAGUCAGUCGAGAGCUUGGUAAUUGGACGAUCGUUCAAAAUACCCUCUGCUUCACAGAACACAGUAUGCAAGCCAUCAUCGUCCAACUUAUGCUGACGUAGAACAGAGCUGAGAACCCUCCUAACCAGGAGGAUCAACUGUUCCCACACCCCACCAUGGUGUGAACCUGCUGGUGUAUUAAAACUCAACCAACCUGUGGCAAAACCCCUGAAGCUGAUUAUGAUUCAGAGCAUGAGACUGCUACCUCCAGAUGGACGGCUCUGCACGCCAUGCAGGUAAAUAUAACACCGUAUCUCGUACAGGUUGACCUUCCCCUCUUUACUUCAAUUGGUCCAAAAUAAUCCACCCCUGUGUUGGUGAAUGGUGGUAGAUCUGGAAGGAUUCUCUCUCUUGGAAGGUAUGCCAUCUUUUGUUGCUCUUCCAUUGUAGCGUCGACAAAAGCUGCAUUCUGCAAUGACCAUUCGGACAGCUGAAUUGGCCUUAGUGAUCCAAAACCUCUUCCUCACCAUGGGCAGUGUAUAGCCCGUCCACCAUGGCCUAUCUUGUAGUCGAUAUGCUUGAUAAUGAGCGUAGAUACAUGUUGCCCUUUGCAGAGAAUGAGUGGAUGUUUGGCAUCUUCAGGCAUCAAUUGCUCCUCUACCCAACCUCCCACCAACUCUUAAUAGCCCAUCUUCCAAAAUUGGAUCCAGCUUAUAGAUACAACUCUGUCGGCUCACGGUUGCGUUCCUGGACGACAGCACAGAAAUCUCCUCACUAAAUCGCUGUCCCUGACAGUAGCCAAUGAUGGCCCUUUCUGCUCCCACUUGAUCUUCUAGUGUUAAGAUCAUUCUGUGACCCUCUGUUGUUUAGCAGCCCGCUUUGACCUAUUCAGACUGGUGUCCCUCAAACAAUUAGCCACAGACGCCUCCAAUUGCUUUCCCUGGUGGAUCUAUGUCAACCACAUGGUCUUCAGCCUGAGGAACCAGCCAACUGCUGUCUUGAGCCUCCUCCAGUCAGAAAAGUAGGCAAUAAGUUUGUCAGUAGGAUUAGACACAUUAAGUACACUGAUGACAUUUGCGGUUGCCUCCUUUCUCACCUCUUGAUCAUUCAAGUCCACUGAGACUUCAAACUCAGUUUUAGGCCAGUCCGCUUCAUGCUUCCAGAGAAAUGUAGGCCCUUUAAGCCACUUGCUAUUCUUCAAAAGGUCUGAGACCCUCAUUCCCCUUGAUGUGUCGUCAGCUGGAUUGUCUUUGGAACUGACAUGUCUCCACUGUGAAGGCUCAGAUGUUCCUCUGAUGGUCGAGAUUCUGUUGGCCACGAAUGUAUGAAAGCGUCUGUCCUCAUUGUUAAGGUAUUUCAGUACUGCAGUGCUGUCAGUCCAAAACACUGAAUCCUCUAACUGUAAGUUCAACUCUUUCCUCAACAUUGAAUCCACUCGGACAGCAAGUACAGCCGCUGAUAACUCAAGUGUAGGAAUAGUCACAGCCUUCAGUGGUGUCACUCUGGCUUUACCGAGCAACAAGGUCACCUGAUUUACCAUCCAGAUGUAUGUUACAGUUCCGUACCCUCCUUCGCUGGCAUCAGCAAAGUGAUGCAGUUGGGCAUGUCUGACCUCUCCAAAGUCCUCUGGUUUAACACACCUUUCCACCUUGAAUGUAGCCAGCAGAUCCAAAUCCUCCAAUCACCUUUUCCAUUGAUGUAAGAUGUCUUGUGGUAAACCAUCAUCCCAUCAUCCCAGCCACAACCUCUCUUACAGAGUUAAUUUUUGCCAGCAACGUGACUGGUGCCAAGAACCCCAGAGGAUCGUACACUGAGCUAGUAACUGACAGCAUACCACGUCUGGUGAAAGCCUGUUGUUUUAACUCUUGAAGCGAAAGAGUCAGUCUCCACACACCACUGCAGACCCAGCGCUCUUUCCACUGGUAGUUCAUCUUGGUCCAAAUCCAAUUCCUUUAGGUCUUCGGCCUUUUGGUCCUGUGAAAUGGCUUGCAAAAUAAACCAACUCCUGCUGCUCCAUUUUUCCAAGUUGAUUCAAGAUUCAAAGAUUUUUAUUGUCAUUUACACACGCCCUGUGUAUUGAAAUUCUUGUGCUUGCCUUUCCGGAAAGCCGGCCAAUUUUAAAAUUAAAAUAAAAAUAAGAAUAAGAAUACAAUAUUUACAUAAAUGUACAUGAAAUAAAAAAUAAAUAUGAGGUAAGGAUAAGGCAGAAAUGAGGUGACGAGGAAAAGUGCAAAACUGAGCAGGUUGUAAAAGAAAAAACUUAAAUUAAAUGAAAUGUGUGGAAUAUAAAUUAACAGUACAGUAAGAGUAAGUGAAUCCUAACAAGCUAAAGUGUAGACCAGUUGUGAAUUAGGUUAUAGAGUCCUCUCAGCUGUUGAUGGCUCUAAUGGCAGUGGGGAAAAAAGAGUUUUUCAUUCUGGUGGUCCUGCAUUUGACACUUUUGUACCUCCUGCCUGAGGGUAGAAGCAUGAACAGACCAUGUUGGGGGUGGGUGGGGUUUUUGAGAAUGGAGGCAGCUCUUCUGUGAACCCUCCGGUGGUAGAUGCUCUGCAGAGAAGGCAACGGGGUCUUGAUGAUCUUUUCUGCUGUCCUCACCACUCUCUGCAGGCGUUCCAUGGUUGAUAUGCUGCCGUACCACACGGUGAUGUAGCUGGUCAAUAUGCUCUCGAUGAUACAGCUGUAGAAGUUGCUGAGGAUCUUAGGAGACAUCCCAAACUUCCUCAGCCUCCUCAGGAAGUACAGCUGCUGUUGAGCCUUCUUGACCAGCUGUGUUGUGUUGAGUGUCCAGGUGAGGUCCUCACCAAAGUGGACCCAGAGUUAUUUGAAGCUGCUCACCCUCUUAACUUCAAGCUCCUGGAUGAAAAGUGGUUGAUGAGGUCUCCUCUCCUUCCUCAUGUCAGCUCCUUGGUCUAGUCAGUGUUGAGGGUGAGGUUGUUAUCCUCGCACCAUGACACCAAACUGGCCACCUCCCUCCCGUAUGCCUCUUCGUUCCCCCCAGUGAUGCUUCCUAUCACUGCGGUGUCAUCAGCCAACUUCAGGACAAUGUUAUCCUUGUGGGAGGCGACACAGUCGUGGGUGAACAGGGUGUAGAGGAUGUGGCUGAGGACACAACCCUGUGGGGUGCCGAUGUUGGUGAUGCUCAUGCUGAGGGAGAGGUUGAAGAUGGAGGUGAGAACAUCAGUCAGCUCAUUUGCACAUGCUCUCAGGGCACGCCCAGUGAUGUUGUCUGGCCCUGCUGCCUAUCGGGGGUUGAUCUUCCUGAGAGCUCUGCGUACCUGGCCUGAUGAGACUGUUGGGGGAGGGGGGUUGGGUGAUCCCGGUGUGUGUGUGCCUCUCUGUGCUGGAGCUGGAUGUCUCGAAGCGGGUGUAGAAGGCGUUGAGGUCCUCCAGUAGGCUGUCUGUGGCACUGAUGGAGCUGGUGGUGGUCCUGUAGUCGGUGAUGUGCUGUAGGCCUUGCCACAGUCAGCAGUGGAGUAGAAGCCAUCAAGCUUCUCUCUGUACUGCCUCUUUGCCACUGUGAUGGCUUUUCUCAGUCGGUACUUAGCAGCUUUGUACUCCGUCUCAAUGCCUGAUCUGAAUGCAGCAGAGUUAGCACGCAGCAUCUGACGUACCUGACUAUUAAUCCAGGGCUUCUGGUUGGGGAAUUUCCUGACCUGUAUGGUGGGCACAAUGUUGUCUACCCAAGUGUAGAUGUACCCGGUCACAUACUCUGCGUAUUCCUGUACGUUAAUCCCCCCUUCCGACACAGAGCGACAAGAUUGUUAUUAUCAAGAUCGCUUCUCCUUCUGUGGCUGCACUCUUUAAACAGUCAUCAACAUAGAAGUCCUGCUUGAUAGAUUGUGUUACUUCAGUCGCAAACUCAAACCGAUUAUCUUCAGAAGUUUUUCUUAAUGUUAUUCAAGGAUGCACCUUGAAAUGUGGCUCCACAGUCAAACACCACCCGGAGCGAACCCUUCCUCGGAUGGUAAACGCCAUGAUGGGGAAUGUACCACACCUUCCCUUUCCCACAAUGCAAUUGUUGCUGAGGUACUUGCUCUGCGUAGGCAUUACUGAUAUGUUUGUUCAUGUACCCUACAUACUCCUGGUGAAAACCUGUUUCUCAAACUCUGAAUUCUUUGUUGAGCCACAGCAAUGUUAUUGGGCAGACGGACCUCUUGAUUCUGAAGGGCAACUUUAGACAAUAUUUCCCAUCCUGAAGUACUGCUGAGCCCUCCAUGGUUUCCAGAAACUUGAGGUCUUUUCUGGACAUUUCCUUCUCCUCAGUCUUUUCAUUGAACUCAUGAUUGUACUGGUUUGCCAGCAUUUUUUCAAAUUGGCACGCGGAGAUCCUAUUCACUCUAGCAGAGGAAACCUCUGUUCUUGAAGAAUCACUGGUUUUAUUCAGCAGACCAUUAACGACCCAUCCCAACACUGUUUUAAUGGCAUAUGGGCCACGCCUACGGCUAUGAAUGACCUCCCAAG
ensembl:lncRNA